rnacentral:tRNA from 1 species
AUUUUAAUAUUUAAUUAAACUCUUAAUUUAUUUACAUUGAAGAUGUAAAACUUAUUGGAGUA